rnacentral:rRNA from 1 species
UAGAGUUUUGAAUCCUGGCUCAGGACGAACGCUGGCGGCGUGCCUAAUACAUGCAAGUCGAGCGGACAGAUGGGAGCUUGCUCCCUGAUGUUAGCGGCGGACGGGUGAGUAACACGUGGGUAACCUGCCUGUAAGACUGGGAUAACUCCGGGAAACCGGGGCUAAUACCGGAUGGUUGUUUGAACCGCAUGGUUCAAACAUAAAAGGUGGCUUCGGCUACCACUUACAGAUGGACCCGCGGCGCAUUAGCUAGUUGGUGAGGUAAUGGCUCACCAAGGCAACGAUGCGUAGCCGACCUGAGAGGGUGAUCGGCCACACUGGGACUGAGACACGGCCCAGACUCCUACGGGAGGCAGCAGUAGGGAAUCUUCCGCAAUGGACGAAAGUCUGACGGAGCAACGCCGCGUGAGUGAUGAAGGUUUUCGGAUCGUAAAGCUCUGUUGUUAGGGAAGAACAAGUACCGUCGAAUAGGGCGGUACUGACGUACCUAGCGAGUCGUUC